rnacentral:rRNA from 1 species
CCUACGGGAGGCAGCAGUGAGGAAUAUUGGUCAAUGGGCGCGAGCCUGAACCAGCCAAGUCGCGUGAGGGAAGACGGUCCUAUGGAUUGUAAACCUCUUUUGUCGGGGAGCAAAAGACGCCACGCGUGUCGUUCCGAGAGUACCCGAAGAAAAAGCAUCGGCUAACUCCGUGCCAGCCGCCGCGGUAAUACGGAGGAUGCGAGCGUUAUCCGGAUUUAUUGGGUUUAAAGGGUGCGCAGGCGGAAGAGUAAGUCAGCGGUAAAAUUGAGGGGCUCAACCUCUUCGAGCCGUUGAAACUGGUUUUCUUGAGUGAGUGAGAAGUAUGCGGAAUGCGUGGUGAAGCGGUGAAAUGCAUAGAUAUAACGCAGAACUCCGAUGGCGAAGGCAGCAUACCGGCGCUCAACUGACGCUCAUGCACGAAAGUGUGGGUAUCGAACAGGAUUAGAUACCCCUGUAGUC